UCAGUGCCUGUGGUACCAAAAGAAAGGAGCCAGUAUUGUUUAUGAAAUGGCUGUGAAACAGAUAUUUGAUUCCUUUUUUUUCCCUCCAAAUCUGUUAUAAGCAACGGAAGCAAAGGAAAGAGAAAUUAAAAAAAGAAGGGCAGUCACUUCAAUGGUGUGAAACAGAACAGAAGGAAAAGAGAGAGAAAUAGAAGGAAAGAGCUGAAAGAGAGAAGAAGAAAGGUAGAGAAAAGGAAAGAAGGAGAAAAAACCUCAGCUGUCCAGCCAUAUACCGAGAAUGUGAAUGGAUCCUAAUUUGGAGGAAGUUGUUUUUACUUUUUUACCUUCAAUAAUAAUGUUUCUAUUUUGUUAAGCUGUGGUCUCUAUUUUUACUGUAGUGUAAGCCCAAUAUUCACCUGAGAUGUUCUUUCCCAGAGUUAUACUGUUUAGAUUUCUAUCAGAACCUCCAGGUCACCAAGGCAGGAGCAUGGCUGAUGGGUGGAGGAUGUCUACACUGGGGAUCUGAACCCACGAACCCAGGCUGCCAAGUGGAGCACACAAACUUAACCACUAAGCCACGGAUGGGCGGGCAGCCCCUCUCCAUCUUGCUCUACUCCCGGGGCCUGGACCAGAAGGAGCAAGAUAGCCGCGCUGCACUGGGCCUCCCUUAAGGAGAGAGGUACGUCAUGUCCCACAGGGGUGCUGAAAAACACGGCUUUUGCUGGACACUCCAGGGAGAACAAGAUGACUUAUGUCAAAGCAACAGGCCCCAGUGAAGACCUGCAGCCUCGGUGGCAGGUGGGUCAGAGGGUCGUCUUCAGCUCCCGCCACGUCCCCACCGUGGGCACUUGCUCUAGAAGCAGCCUGUGGAUCCUGAACACAAUUCUUCCUUUGAUUCUUUUGAUGACAGAGCAACAGCAAAAUGCUGUGGCAAUCAAAACUGCCUGAAAACAGCGUAUUAACUGUUCAGAUCUGUAAUUGAGUUAAUCACGGAACUGCUGGCACGUGCUCUCCACCGUUCUUCAUAGAUAAGUUCUUGACACUGCGUCCCUGAGACUUCACUCCUUCUCACCUCGAGCCCCUCUCUCGGACAGGACUCGGGAUUCACAGGAGUGACUUCCAUGUGGGAUGAGGGUAGGAAGGAAGACAGGGCAGACAUUUAUAAACACCUGCUCAUUUAAUUUUGCCAAGACCCUGCCAGACACAUCCCAGUGUCAUCACUCCGCAAAUGAAACUGAUGCUCAGAGAAGUUCAGCGGCUUUCCUAUGGUCACUCAGUUAAGGCAAGGUGGAGUUAGGAGUGGAACCCAUGGCUAAUCUUGAUAGACUUCACGCUCUUUCCCCCUCUUCACCCUCCUGCCCUCAUGUUUCCUCCCAUAGUGCAACGGGACCAAUACUCUGUACAAGAGGAAUGUGUUCUCUGUCGACAGCUUGCUUGAUUUCUAAGAGCUGGGUCUUGGCCUUCCUUUUCUAAGCUCCAAUCAUCGGAAACUAAUGCUGAACAAAUCUUCUGAGGCUGCCUCAUGCAAUCCCUUUAACUUGUGAUGAGAAAACUGAAGUGCAGUGAUUAAGCUACUGUGCCCCUAGCGAGCCGUGGAGACAGGGCGGGGAGCAGGACCAGCGCCGACACCCCUGCAGUGUGUUGUACCUCACAGAGCCACCAAGACUGUGCAAUGAGAAGCCUAUGUCCUAGACGUGGGGAGCCAAUUCUCUCAAGACACCAACUUUUCUGGGGACACACAGCUGCUCUGACGGUGGGCUUGUGCAUGCGCUAUGACAGACCAAGUCAUCUGCUUUCCUCGCCUGGAGCCCUCUCUCCUCCAACGUGUCCAGCUGGCUUAGAAACGAAACACGACCAUCAUUUCUCUCGGCAUGGGCAGCUUGUCCCCAUGUUGGAAACGCAAGGAAGAGAACAGCAUC
rnacentral:lncRNA from 1 species